CCCCCUGACACACACAUGAUAUUUGCCAGUCCAGGCAAUGUCAACCGCAAGAGAAAACCAGUGAUGACAAGUUUUACAAAUAAUCGGAAAGUAUGGUCUUUUGAAGAGAGUUCUUGAAGUUGUUCAGCAUGUUGUUUUGAUGGAUUCUUGGAAGGAUGUACCUCUAUGAUGUUAGCUUCAGUUCUGGAGUAUAACACCAGUUGUUGCAUAUUUAAUAUCAGAUUUAUUAAAUACAUUGUUGUUUUGCAAACAUUACUUAAACUUUGAUAUUUCUUUGGUGUUUAUGUAUGAUAUUGUAGGUGAAUAUCUCUUUAUUGCAAUGGCAAAUAUAUUUUAAAAUAUAUAGCAUUAGCAGAAGUUAUUUUUCACUGUUAAAGCUGCACUUUCACAGAUUGAUCACUUUGACAACUUACACAGGAUUCGAUUGCAUUUAUCAUAGUUUGGCUCGGAGAAGUUUGCUUUGUGAUUUAUAUAUUAGGUCUUAAUUUAAAGAAUGCCAAAAUAAGCCGAUUCUGAGACAAACAGUGUCAAACUAGAAUUCUGUGAGAGUGCAACUUUAAGAAUACUGUUAAUCGAGUGUGCAUGUGAUCCAGACUCUGAACAUUGGAUGAACUAUCAUUAAAUAUUGUAGAUUUACGUAAAUGGCCCAAAACAUAAGAAUAACAAUGAAAAUA